rnacentral:sRNA from 2 species
AUCGGUCGGUCGCCGCGCUCUCCCGUCCCUCGAAGCGGCGGACGAUCCGGAUGGAACGACACGCCCAUCGGCGGCGCGCUGCUCGCAAGAGCGGCGCGCC